rnacentral:rRNA from 1 species
CCUACGUGAGGCAGCAGUGGGGAAUAUUGGGCAAUGGGCGCAAGCCUGACCCAGCAACGCCGCGUGAAGGAAGAAGGCUUUCGGGUUGUAAACUUCUUUUGUCAGGGACGAAGCCAGUGACGGUACCUGACGAAUAAGCCACGGCUAACUACGUGCCAGCAGCCGCGGUAAUACGUAGGUGGCAAGCGUUAUCCGGAUUUACUGGGUGGAAAGGGCGUGUAGGCGGGACUGCAAGUCAGAUGGGAAAACCACGGGCUCAACCUGUGGCCUGCCUUUGAAACUGUAGGGCUUGAGUGCUGGAGAGGCAGACGGAAUUCCUAGUGUAGCGGUGAAAUGCGUAGAUAUUAGGAGGAACACCAGUGGCGAAGGCGGUCUGCUGGACAGCAACUGACGCUGAGGCGCGAAAGCGUGGGGAGCAAACAGGAUUAGAUACCCCAGUAGUC